rnacentral:rRNA from 1 species
AGCUAGUUGGUGAGGUAACGGCUCACCAAGGCAACGAUGCGUAGCCGACCUGAGAGGGUGAUCGGCCACACUGGGACUGAGACACGGCCCAGACUCCUACGGGAGGCAGCAGUAGGGAAUCUUCCGCAAUGGACGAAAGUCUGACGGAGCAACGCCGCGUGAGUGAUGAAGGCUUUCGGGUCGUAAAACUCUGUUGUUAGGGAAGAACAAGUGCUAGUUGAAUAAGCUGGCACCUUGACGGUACCUAACCAGAAAGCCACGGCUAACUACGUGCCAGCAGCCGCGGUAAUACGUAGGUGGCAAGCGUUAUCCGGAAUUAUUGGGCGUAAAGCGCGCGCAGGUGGUUUCUUAAGUCUGAUGUGAAAGCCCACGGCUCAACCGUGGAGGGUCAUUGGAAACUGGGAGACUUGAGUGCAGAAGAGGAAAGUGGAAUUCCAUGUGUAGCGGUGAAAUGCGUAGAGAUAUGGAGGAACACCAGUGGCGAAGGCGACUUUCUGGUCUGUAACUGACACUGAGGCGCGAAAGCGUGGGGAGCAAACAGGAUUAGAUACCCU